UGUAUGAGUUGUGWUUGGGWUGUUUUUGCUGGCUGGCUCCAUGCUUUUGCAUCGAACGGUUGGCAUGCAACUCUGUUUCAAGGACACCCCGCUCUUAGAUGCGGUGGUGCGCGAUCCCGGUUCCUGUGUUGCCUACCUCUUGAAUGGUAGUCGUGUGGCUCGUCGGAUUUUGUCCAUCCAGUUCCCCUCGAAGGGGUUAUGGGGGAUUUCGAAGUGAUGCAUAUGUUCCACGUUAGUUGUUUUGUAUUGAAGCAAAUGGGGUGCAUAUGUAUAUGCUGCUCUCUCGGAUGCGGUGCAUGAGAUGAAACAUGGGAAGUGUUCCCAUUCAGUCCCUCAAAUCUUGGUUGCCUUGAAAGACACUUGCCUUCGCGCCUUGCUUGCUAUCCACUCGUGGUUGCAUGCGGGCAUCGAUUCGCAAAGUUGUCAAUGGAUG
rnacentral:misc_RNA from 1 species